rnacentral:rRNA from 1 species
AGAGUUUGAUCCUGGCUCAGGAUGAACGCUGGCGGCGUGCUUAACACACGCAAGUCGAACGAGGAUUUAAUGGAAUGCGAUUCGUCAAAUGAAAUUAGAUCCGAGUGGCGGACGGGUGAGUAACGCGUGGAUAACCUGCCUCACACAGGGGGACAACAGUUGGAAACGGCUGCUAAUACCGCAUAACAUAAGCAAUCCGCAUGGAUAGCUUAUCAAAGAUUAUAUCGGUGUGAGAUGGAUCCGCGUCUGAUUAGCCAGUUGGCGGGGUAAAGGCCCACCAAAGCGACGAUCAGUAGCCGACCUGAGAGGGUGACCGGCCACAUUGGGACUGAGACACGGCCCAAACUCCUACGGGAGGCAGCAGUGGGGAAUAUUGCACAAUGGGCGAAAGCCUGAUGCAGCGACGCCGCGUGAAGGAUGAAGUAUUUCGGUAUGUAAACUUCUAUCAGCAGGGAAGAAAAUGACGGUACCUGACUAAGAAGCCCCGGCUAACUACGUGCCAGCAGCCGCGGUAAUACGUAGGGGGCAAGCGUUAUCCGGAUUUACUGGGUGUAAAGGGAGCGUAGAUGGCAUGGCAAGUCUGAAGUGAAAGCCCGGGGCUUAACCCCGGGACUGCUUUGGAAACUGUUAAGCUAGAGUGCAGGAGAGGUAAGCGGAAUUCCUAGUGUAGCGGUGAAAUGCGUAGAUAUUAGGAGGAACACCGGUGGCGAAGGCGGCUUACUGGACUGUAACUGACAUUGAGGCUCGAAAGCGUGGGGAGCAAACAGGAUUAGAUACCCUGGUAGUCCACGCCGUAAGCGAUGAAUACUAGGUGUUGGGGAGCAUAAGCUCUUCGGUGCCGGCGCACACGCAUUAAGUAUUCCA